rnacentral:lncRNA from 1 species
UCCCAGUGUUGUACCCACCACAUCCUGUACAAGAUUCUCGGCGCAGGGAGCUUCCAUGCAGACGCUUCUUCAAGGGGCGUCUCUGUAGAGUUGGCAGCCAGCAGGUAGCGUCCAGCACAGCCUCUUCCCCCUGGGUGUGCCCAGGUUCAAGGACCGAGUAUGAUGCUGACACAGCCAGGAAAGGGUGGCGUCUCUAUCCGCCCACUACCUCCCCCUCCCCUGGGAGCAUGCGGGCUCAGCAGAGCUCGCGGCAGGAGUCCGCGCGGGUCUCCUCGCGUGCAGCGCCUCCAGCAGCCACGCUCUUGGCCACAACCGCAGCGUUGGAACUGCGCGAGGGGGGAUGAGGGGUCCAACCUAGGAAGCAGCGCCAACCGGGCUCCCCGGGCUGGGAGGCCCCGAGCCGAGGGCGCCACCUGUGGGAUCACGCCCCUCUAGCCGUGUGCUCAGGGCAUGACAUGAGGGUAGGCAGCCUUGGCCGGGUUGCCACUAGGAUUCAGACCCGGUCUCGCUGACAUCAGAGAUUGCCGGACCCUGAUACCCUGGGUGGGACUUCCGCAUCCUGGGUUUUCCCAUCGCUAGGAAUGUUUUACUGGUAACAAUAGUUGAGUUGAGAAGAUCCAUGCUCAUCCUGCGCGUUUCAGCACCAUUCGGCUGCUAGGUGACUUACCAAGCAUUGCCUGGGAGAGUCGUCUAUCAUUUUAAGUAAACGCCUUGGGAAAAGAAGUACCAUUCAUUAUCUAUAAUUUAUAUACCAUAUCUUAAUUAAAAUGCAAAGAAGAUAUGCCUUAAGAGUGGAGACCAGAGCAUUAGGGGCUGCGCAAAUACUUCUUGGCUUUUUUCACUGUGCACUGGGGAUUCUCUGUGAAUGUUUGUUUAUCAGAGAGGCGGGCUUACAACGUGUUGGUUACAUCCCUACAUUUGUUAUGAUAAUUUACGCAUUUUGGUCAGCACCAUAUUACAUCACCUCGGGGGCCAUCAGCGUUGCAGCACAGAGGAAGGGUUCACAAUAUCAGAAACACAGGAUCCACCGCGAAAAUGCCAGGCUUAUAGCAUCUACUGGAGGUGAAAGACCAAGCCUAAAAAACAAAUAG